rnacentral:rRNA from 1 species
GGACUACUGGGGUAUCUAAUCCUGUUCGUUACCCAAGCCUUCGUCCCUCAACGUCAGUUUUUAUAUAAAGUUCUGCUUUCGCCGUUAACCGUCUUAAAGGUAUCAAAGAAUUUCAUCUCUACACCAAUAAUUCCAAAUUACUCUCAUAUAAAACUCUAGUAUAUCCGUCCCUUUUUCAGGCUAGAUAAACUGUCUAGGUACCCUUUAAACCUAAUAAAGAUGAAUAACACUAGUCUCCGUUGUCUUACCGCGGCUGCUGGCAC